rnacentral:rRNA from 1 species
UGGGGAAUAUUGCACAAUGGGCGAAAGCCUGAUGCAGCAACGCCGCGUGAGUGAUGAAGGUCUUCGGAUUGUAAAGCUCUGUCUUUUGGGACGAUAAUGACGGUACCAAAGGAGGAAGCCACGGCUAACUACGUGCCAGCAGCCGUGGUAAUACGUAGGUGGCGAGCGUUGUCCGGAUUUACUGGGCGUAAAGGGUGCGUAGGCGGAUGUUUAAGUGAGAUGUGAAAUACCCGGGCUUAACUUGGGUGCUGCAUUUCAAACUGGAUAUCUAGAGUGCAGGAGAGGAGAAUGGAAUUCCUAGUGUAGCGGUGAAAUGCGUAGAGAUUAGGAAGAACACCAGUGGCGAAGGCGAUUCUCUGGACUGUAACUGACGCUGAGGCACGAAAGCGUGGGUAGCAAACAGGAUUAGAUACCCUGGUAGUCCACGCCGUAAACGAUGAGUACUAGGUGUAGGAGGUAUCGACCCCUUCUGUGCCGCAGUAAACACAUUAAGUACUCCGCCUGGGAAGUACGAUC